AAGCUCGGGCAUUGCUGGGAUGGGAACAACUAGGGUUUCGGAACGCGAGCCCCCGCCAAUCGAUCGCCUUCCCUCGUCGCUUUUCUCGGGUGGAUUAAACUAGGAUUUAGCGAGGAAAGAAGCCCGAUUCCAGACGGCACCUACGACUUUGCGAGCUUAGAUCCUCAGUAUACCUUCCUUUAACUCAGUCGCAGUCGCGUUUCUUGGGCACAGAGGAUGUUGCGGAGAGGAGGAGAUCGAGGUACGAAAUGGAGGAUUCCUGUCUAAAGCGGGUGUAGCGGCCUGGGAAAGGACGGUUUUGGUCUCGUUCAGAGGAAGUAUAAGGCGGCAUUUGUGGAAGGAGCAGUCCGGAGUGCAAUCGGGAGGAAUGCAUGUCGAUCCGAGCUUGGCUGCUUCGAAUUGGGAGUAAGGAGCGAGUUUGAGAGAGGGAUUCCGUGGUCCGUGGUAGAUCUGGAGGGUUUUGCGCGCAGCAGCAUUAGAUCAGAAGGAGGUAAAAUUUUCCUUGGAGGAAAAGACUAAAAUUUUGAUGCGUAAUUGAUACCGAAGAGUCAAUUGCUGAGAUUUUUCAACAGCCAGGUUCUGUUCCUGUGUAGCUGCUGCUGUGUUGCAGGCGGCAACGCUGAUUUCUGGCCGCCUGGCGAACGCAAGCUACAGGAAGAGAGAGAAGAAGGCGGAGAACAGCUGAUCGCCGGAUACUAGUGCCAUCUCGAGCGUCCAAAGAAAACAUAUAGGACCUAGAGUUGACGCAGCUUCCCUCUCAGUCGCCCACAGCUUUCCAGAAAGGAGAUAAGUGGUAAAGAUAAAAAGGAGAGGCCGGGAAGGCAGUAAAGGCACUAGAAGAAGAUGGAAGUGGAGGAGAAUAACCAAGGCUGUAAGAGGACACGGGUGGUGGCGGCGGGUAACGGAAACCUAGCAGCCAAGAUAGGGCGGCGCAAGGAGCACCAGGACGAGGACGAGGAGGACGGCGAGAAGAAGGUAAGAGGAGUCGAUGCUAGCCGCAUCCCUCCCUGGCAGCAACAUCCGUCGUCGAGGAUUUUCCGCGUCUCGCGCGCAUCCGGCGGGAAGGAUCGGCACAGCAAGGUCUACACGGCGAAGGGCCUCCGGGAUAGGCGAGUGCGCCUCUCCGUCUCCACUGCCAUCCAGUUCUAUGACCUCCAAGACCGCCUCGGUUACGACCAGCCGAGCAAGGCUAUCGAGUGGCUAAUUAAAGCAGCAGGAGUCGCUAUCAAUGAGCUGCCUCCCCUCGAGGCGUUCCUGAAGCUGCCUCUUCCCGACGGGGAAGACGCCAUGAAGACGGAUCCGGAAGUAGAGCCGAGCUACAACCACUGCCAACAGCAGCAGCAGCAUCCGUCCACCAAAUCUGGAUGCAGCAGUACCUCGGACACCAGCAAAGGCUCGGUCUUGUCACUCUCUCGCUCCGAGAACCGCAUCAUGGCCCGAGAGCGAGCUCGAGAGCGAGCCGCCAAAGAUAAAGAAAAAGAUAGAGAUGAUGGCAGCCACAUUGUUGUUUCCGCCCAACAGGACAUGAACCCCCAGGCCUCUUUCACGGAGCUUCUCACCGGCGGUGGCAGCAGCAAUGGGGUCAACAAUAACGUGACCGUUGUCGCCACAGACGGCGAUCAUUCCAGGCACAAUUGCAUUCAGAAGCAAAUCUCAACGGCUGAUUACUUUGGCAAUGCUGCUCUCUUUCCCCAGUCUCAAAAGAGUCACCAGUUGCCUUCUGGGUUUUCCAACCAAUCUCACUUAGGAAACAGCUCUUCCAUGGGAAUGCUGCCUUUUAACAUUGCAGGUGCCGGCGACCAUCAAGAGAUGCAACAGUUCGCUUUCUUGCAGGACCAUUACUUCCACGUCUCAGCGGUGGCAGCGACAGGGGACUACAACCAUAACUUUUCAACUUCGUCUUCCGGCCUUGUGGGUUUCAACAGGGGGACCCUUCAGUCCAAUUCACCAGUUCAGUUGCCUCAGCAGCACAACCACAGUCAAAACCACCUACAGAGGCUCUCUUCCACGGUUGACGGAUCGAACCUCCAGUUCUUCUUCGGUGCUGGGGCAGGUUCCGCUACUGCUCCUAGCAAUGCAGAUAAUCAAUUUCCAUCUGGGUUCGACGGCCGUCUGCAGCUCUACUAUGGCGAAGGUUAUCGGCAGUCGGACCUGAAGGGGAAAGGAAAUACCUAAAAAAUCAUACAAUGAUGCAUCAUGCAAAUCGAUUUGCUGAAAUGCUUGAUAGGAUUAUCUCGUUCUAUUGUCAUCGGGUUUGUGAUGCAGGAACCAAUCAACUUAGCAUGAGGACUUCAAAUCUGUUCCUGCAAGUGCAUUACAAAAAUGUUUAUAUAUAUCCUGGAUGUUGCUCUACUAUUACUUAUGUUUAUCAUGUCUGAGACAAUUUUAUGCUACGAUGAUUUCAUCUUUGUAUGCUUCGUGAGAGAAACUGUCAUAUAUGCUGAGCACUCAUUUAUUGCUUAUUAUGUGUGGAUAUGAAGAUCAUCAGAGCGAACAAAGUUUGAGAUUUUGUUACUCCUAAUCUUCAGCUUGGAAUAAGGUGUUCAAUGUAAAGCGCGCUUGAUGUUUUCUUCUAUUGAGCUUAUCUUGGUGGUGGGUUUUGUCAUGUUUUCUAGCUAGCUUUUAUUAUAAUGUUCAGGGAACGUUUUUUUUCUAGUAGUAAAAAAUGAUUAUGUUCACAUGAAAUGUCUUACACUUGUAUGAAGGGGAAUAAAUUAUGGAGUCAGUUUAUAGUUAAAUAAUUAAAGGAUAAGAAGUUUUUUUUUCUAUUAUAGUAAAAUUGUUACUCUGUAAUUAAUUAUCCUAUGGAGACUGUCUAUGAGACUGUCCAAGUAA